rnacentral:misc_RNA from 1 species
GUCAUUGUAACUUUUAGCAAUCAAGUGUAAUCCCGAUCCAGUCCUUGUACGCCAAUUGAAGCUGUUGGGAACUGGGUUUGACUGUGCUAGCAAAGGUGAAAUAGAGUUUGCACUUAGUAUUGGAUGCAAACCAAACGACAUCAUAUAUGCNAACCCCUGCAAAAAGCCUUCUCAUCUCAGGUUCGCAGCAAAACAUGGUAUUUCAAUGAUGACAUUUGACAGCAAAGAAGAGCUGAUGAAGAUCAAAGACAUUUGUCCCAGCAGUGCAGAGAUUCUGAUUCGCUUUACUCCAAGAAUUGAUGGUGCCUUGUACAAUCUUAGCUUUAAAUUUGGGGCUGCAAUUGAAGAUUGNGCAGAUAUUCUAACCACGGCCAAGAAUCUGGGACUAAAUGUUGUUGGUGUAAGGUACGUAGUCACUGCAUUUAAAAUCCCAUGGACCUACUUCAUAGGAAGCUAUACACGACUUUCAAAAAUGGCGCCAGUUCACGUCCGCCUAUAUUGGGGACUAGUGACGAAUCAUGGAAACGAGANCUCAAAGGCCUUCCAUCAAGAAAUCACUACGAAGAUCGUAUGUAGGCAGUGUCCAAAAGUUUGAAAGAUGUAUUGGUAUGUUAUUUACAACAAAACACUCUUGCAAGACACCAUGGAAGCUGGCCUUUGAGACCUCGUUUUAGUGCUUCGUCCCCCUGAUCGACGACCGUGACACAUCGCGCCACUUUUGAAAGUCGUGAAUGCUGUCUUGAAAUGCAGGUAACAUGCUUUUGCAUUGAAGCCAGUCAACCGUCGAGCGCGCAAUGACAGACACGCCGAAUACUUGUCUAUGCGUGUGAACAAACGCUCUAUCGUUGUACACUCACCGACCGUUUUGCUUCGAAGGCACGGUUACUAUACCCUUCAUCACCUUUAGGAGAGAGAGCAAGACAGUCGUUGACCUUAAUUCGAUAAAAAAUGAAUUCUUACUAGAUAGGCAUGCUCGAUAGAAAGUGCAGAUGGUUUGACACACUGCAUUUGGCGAUCCGUGUUAUAAAAUAGGCAUGCGGCGUGGUAGACAGUAGACGAUGUCAUAACCUGCCUAACCGGGUCAGCGGAUUGACGUAAGAUAAAAGUCAUGUCAUCCUAAAACUAGUAAGAGGGUCUCAAUGGGGUUAACCGUGAGCCGUGAAACGGCUAAAAAAUUAGCCGUGAAUCGUA